GAUGAACGCUGGCGGCGUGCCUAACACAUGCAAGUCGAACGGAACUUCUUUGACAGAAUUCUUCGGAAGGAAGUUGAUUAAGUUUAGUGGCGGACGGGUGAGUAACGCGUGAGUAACCUGCCUUUGAGAGGGGAAUAACUUCCCGAAAGGGAUGCUAAUACCGCAUGACGCAUAUUUAUCGCAUGGUAGAUAUGCCAAAGAUUUAUCGCUCAAAGAUGGACUCGCGUCCGAUUAGCCAGUUGGCGGGGUAACAGCCCACCAAAGCGACGAUCGGUAGCCGGACUGAGAGGUUGAACGGCCACAUUGGGACUGAGACACGGCCCAGACUCCUACGGGAGGCAGCAGUGGGGGAUAUUGCGCAAUGGGGGAAACCCUGACGCAGCAACGCCGCGUGAAGGAUGAAGGUUUUCGGAUUGUAAACUUCUUUUAUUUAGGACGAACAAUGACGGUACUAAAUGAAUAAGCUCCGGCUAACUACGUGCCAGCAGCCGCGGUAAUACGUAGGGAGCAAGCGUUAUCCGGAUUUACUGGGUGUAAAGGGUGCGUAGGCGGCUUGGUAAGUCAGAUGUGAAAUGUAUGGGCUCAACCCAUGCACUGCAUUUGAAACUAUUGAGCUUGAGUGAAGUAGAGGUAGGCGGAAUUCCCUGUGUAGCGGUGAAAUGCGUAGAGAUAGGGAGGAACACCAGUGGCGAAGGCGGCCUACUGGGCUUUAACUGACGCUGAGGCACGAAAGCGUGGGUAGCAAACAGGAUUAGAUACCCUGGUAGUCCACGCUGUAAACGAUGAUUACUAGGUGUGGGGGGUCUGACCUCUUCCGUGCCGGAGUUAACACAAUAAGUAAUCCACCUGGGGAGUACGACCGCAAGGUUGAAACUCAAAGGAAUUGACGGGGGCCCGCACAAGCAGUGGAGCAUGUGGUUUAAUUCGAAGCAACGCGAAGAACCUUACCUGCUCUUGACAUCUCCCUGACCGGCAAGUAAUGUUGCCUUUCCUUCGGGACAGGGAAGACAGGUGGUGCAUGGUUGUCGUCAGCUCGUGUCGUGAGAUGUUGGGUUAAGUCCCGCAACGAGCGCAACCCCUAUCUUCAGUAGCCAGCGGUUUGGCCGGGCACUCUGGAGAGACUGCCAGGGAUAACCUGGAGGAAGGUGGGGAUGACGUCAAAUCAUCAUGCCCCUUAUGAGCAGGGCUACACACGUGCUACAAUGGCGUAAACAAAGGGAAGCGAACCCGCGAGGGUGGGCAAAUCCCAAAAAUAACGUCUCAGUUCGGAUUGUAGUCUGCAACUCGACUACAUGAAGCUGGAAUCGCUAGUAAUCGCGAAUCAGAAUGUCGCGGUGAAUACGUUCCCGGGUCU
rnacentral:rRNA from 1 species